rnacentral:misc_RNA from 1 species
GUUCAAUCGGAGAAGAAAAAUGGCAAUGCUCAGAGCUGUCAAAACAGCCUUUCUCCCUCGAUUUUCCUCUUUAAUCUCCACCGCUAGAUCAGUGAGCACAUUGGUUGUAGCCGAACAUGAAGGUGGUGCUAUAAAGGGUCCAUCUAUAAGUGCAGUAGAGGCUGCAAAGGCUUUGGGCGAUGGAAAUUUAAUUUCUAUUCUUGUCGCUGGAUCAGGUCCGUCCCUUCAAGAAGCUGCUGCACAUGCUGCCUCAUGUCAUCCCUCAAUUUCACAGGUACUUGUUGCUUAUUCAGAUAAAUUUACUCAUUCUUUAGCAGAACCUUGGGCUAGGUUGGUCCAUUUGGUUCAGCAAAAAGGUGGCUACUCACACAUACUUGCUGCUGCGAAUUCAUUUGGCAAAAACAUACUGCCACGUGCAGCUGCCCUUUUAGAUGUUUCUCCAAUUACUGAUGUUAUUGAUAUUUCUGGUUCUAGUCAAUUUGUCAGACCAAUUUAUGCUGGAAAUGCACUU